GGCGGAUUAAAUGAGGAGUUGAAGUCCGGAAGGAAAGGGGUAGAGAGAGAGAGAGAGAGCGGAGGAGAGGAAAGGGGAGGAAGGAAGAAGAGAAAGGGAGGCGCGGCUGCCGGCGUUGCCGGGGAUUUUACUUUUGUUUAUUUGUUUGUUGGGCGGCCUUAAACCACGUAAGGAGAGAGAGAUUAGUAGUUUAAGGGGGAGAGAAGAGAGAGAGGAGGGUUUCAGUUGUUUGUAUGGGGCAGGUUUCCUCGUCCUCCUCUUCCUGCUCCAUACCUCCUGCAUCUGCAACCACUGGAGAGAGAGAUCUGGAUGAGGGUCGGCGUUGCCCCACAGAUCUGAUAUCGGAGCUGCCCGAUGAGUGCCUCGCCUGCAUAUUUCAGAGCCUGGGCCCCGGUGACCGCAAGCGAUGCUCCCUGGUCUGUAAGCGGUGGCUCCGUGUAGAGGGCCAGAGUCGGCAGCGGCUCUCCCUUGAUGCCACCUCCCACCUGCUCACCGCGAUUCCGUCCCUCUUUGUGCGUUUUGACCGCGUCUCGAAGCUGGCACUCAAGUGUGAUCGCCGAAUGCUCAGCAUCAACGAUGAGGCUCUUGCCCUCGUGGCUGUCCACUGCCCGUCCCUAACCAAACUCAAGCUCAAGGCCUGCCGUGAGCUCACAGAUGCUGGCAUCGAGGCAUUCGCCAAGCACUGUCCCGCCCUCCGCAAGCUGUCUUGUGCCUCCUGCACCUUCGGGGCGCGUGGCAUGAAUUCUGUCCUCCGCUACUGCCCUGCCCUAGAGGAGCUAUCCAUCAAACGCCUUCGAGGCCUUGCUGAUGGCACUGCCCAGCCCAUUGGCCCACCCCCCGGCUGCUCCACCUCACUGCGCACGAUUUGCCUCAAGGAGCUCUACAACGGGCAGUGCUUUUCCCCGCUCAUUGCUGCAUCCAAAUCCCUCCGCAACCUCCGUCUUUACCGCUGCUCGGGCGAUUGGGACCGCCUCCUUGAGGCCAUCGCCGCCCAGGUCCAGGGGCUUGUUGAAGUGCACCUUGAGCGCCUCCAGGUCAGUGAUCGGGGCUUGCUGGCACUCGCCGGAUGCGCAGAUCUUGAGGUCCUGCACCUUGUGAAGACCCCCGAAUGCACCAAUGCUGGGCUGGCCGCUGUGGCUGACUGCUGCAGGAUGCUGCGCAAGCUGCACAUCGAUGGGUGGAAAACUAACCGAAUCGGGGACGAUGGCCUGGUGGCAGUGGCACGCAAGUGCAAGAACCUGCAGGAGCUGGUGCUGAUUGGGGUGAAUCCCACUUCUGCCAGCCUGAGUCUCCUUGCCACCAACUGCCUUGGCCUCGAGCGGCUGGCCCUGUGUGGCAGUGAGACCAUUGGGGAUGUAGAGCUCAGCUGCAUUGCGGCCAAGUGCGCAUCCCUUCGCAAGCUCUGUAUCAAGGGCUGCCCAGUCUCGGAUCAGGGUAUGGAGGCCCUGGCAGCAGGCUGCCCCAAUCUUGUGAAGGUGAAGGUGAAAAAGUGUAGGGGGGUGACCUCUGAGGGGGCAGAGUGGCUGAGGGCGAGCAGGGGGUCACUUGCUGUGAACCUUGACACUCAUGAUCCCCCUGAUGCUAGCACCAGUGAUUGUGUCCCCGAGCACUUGGAUCGCUCAGUGGCUGCUACUACUGCCCUCAACUCUCAUGCUCCUCUCGAUGCCCCUGUCACUACCAGCAGUGGUAGAUCUGCUCUUUCCAAGGCACGACUCGUUCUGCAUGCCGGCAAAAGUUUUAUGGCUUGCACUUUCAUGAAGUGGUCCAUUUCCCGUAGCUCACAAUGAAUUCUGGUAUUAAAAUUGGGGUUCGCUUCUUCAUUGUAUCUCAUUCACAACUGGUAUCAGUUACAUUGUUUUCUAAACUUUGUUGUGGUGAAGUUUAAACCAGUUCAGGGUCUUAAGUUUCAUUUCUUUUGAAAGAGAUCAUUCUUGUCAUGCUUAAAUUCAAAACAGAACAGAAUUUUCUUUUCUGUGGCUGUUGAGCUUUGCAUAUUUAUGUAUGUAUGUAUGUGUAUUGUCCUACUGGUAGUAGUUUUUCCUUUGAAAGAUGGACGUUUGAAUGAUAUGUUCCCAUUGUCAUUGACGAGGUGUGAUCAUUGUGGGUGUUUCUGGGACUCGAAUAAAUUUUUGACCUGAUUUUUAUGUGUGUGAGGAUGAUUGGAUUUGUGGAUUGCUAUAUUAAAACUCACUCUGGCAUGCGCUGAAUUUUUGUUUAGGAGCUGUUAGGGUUCUUCCAUUUUAUCAAAUCAAGAAAGGCUCCAUUUCAGCGAUGAGAUGUAACUCCUGUAAAAUGCAUGGCAGCAGCAGCAAAGCUUAACUAAGAUGGGUUGAAUUCAGAAUUGUUAUCGUAGAUGCGUAUGCUACAUGGUUCUCAUCCAUCAGGGGCUAUUAAUAGCAGUGUUGGUUCUCAUCCAUCAGGGACUAUUAAUAGCAGUGUUGGUUGACAACGUAUCCCGGUGCUGUGAGAUGAUUGUGUUGUGGCUAUCAAGGAGGAUGAAUCAAAGUAGAUGGUUCCAUUUCUUUCGGAUGCUUGCUCCUGCAGAGCCGUGGGGUUUCAAAGCGGCUGAAAGAGAAUCAAGGAUUACUCAUAAGAGUGAUUAAUGUGUAACAUGUUUUCUCUUUGAGAGGUUAGCUGCCAAUGCUUCAUGCAGGGGUCGUUUCCAUUACCUACCGGAAUCUCACACCUGAUCAGGGACUACAACUAGCAGUGUUGGUUGAUGACAAAUAGAUUGCGUCCUGGUGCCGUGAGCUGAUCAUGGUUGGCUAUGGGGGAGGAUGAAUCAAAUUAGAUGGUUCUAUUUCUUUUUGAUGCUUGCUGUUGUGGAGGCAUGGGGUUUCAAAAAAAUUGAAAGAGAAUCAAUGAUUCCUCGUGGAGUGAUGAAUGUGUAAAGUCUCCAUGUUUUCUCUCCAAGAGAUUAGUCUCAAUGCUUCACUUGGACUUUCCAUUACCUACCGGAAUCUCACAGGGACUACUACUAGCAGUGUUGGUUGACUACAAAUAUUACAUCCUGUUGCUGUGAGAUGUUUAUGCUUUGGCUAUUGAGGCCGACGAAUCAACUUAGAUGGUUCUAUGUUCUCUCAGAUACCUGCUCCUGUGGAAAAAUAGGUUUCAAAAAGAUUGAAGAGAAUUAAGGAUUCCUCAUAGCAUGACUAAUGUGUAAAUUCUCCGAUGUUUUCCCUGUAACUGGUUAGCUGCCAAUGCUUCAUGCAGGGAAAGGGCUGUUUCUAUUCCCUCACCUCAUCUGGGUUGAGGACAACAGUAAGUGACAUCUUCAGGUAUUGAUACAGUAGUGCACCAUCUUCUUUUGUUUUGAUUAAUCUUUUUUUUUCAUCUCUAAGGUGGAGAACUGAACCAAAGAAUUUGCCUUUCUUCGUCAUCAAUCAUGUACCAUCUUCUUUUGUUUUGAUUAAUCUGUUUUUUUCAUCUUUAAGGCGGAGAACUGAACCAAAAAUUGGCCUUUCUUCAUCAAUCAAAUCACUUUUUACGA